CGAGCCGACCGGGCGGUCGCGUCGAGGUAGUGAUACUUCGCCGAGGAAAGUCCGGGCUCCACAGGGCAGGGUGGUUGUUAACGGCAACCCGGGGUGACCCGCGGGACAGUGCCACAGAAAAUAGACCGCCAGCGCUCACGCGCUGGUAAGGGUGAAACGGUGGUGUAAGAGACCACCAGCGUUUCGGGUGACCGAAGCGGCUCGGCAAACCCCACCCGGAGCAAGGUCGAGAAGAUCAUCCUGGCAACAGGGUGCAUCGCGCAGGCAUUUGAGGGCGGCCCGCCCGAGUCUGCGGGUAGACCGCUAGAGCCUGCCGGCAACGGCAGGCCGAGAUGGAUGACCGCCACUCAUUGCAUCCGCAGUGAGCGACAGGACCCGGCUUAUGCGUCGACUCGUCCG
rnacentral:RNase_P_RNA from 1 species